ACCUUCGUAGUGUAGCGGUAGCACAUUCGGCGCAUAUUUGAGAGGUCUAGGUUCGAGUCCUGGCGAUUGCA
rnacentral:tRNA from 1 species